rnacentral:rRNA from 1 species
GCAGUCGAGCGAAUCUGAGGGAGCUUGCUCCCAAAGAUUAGCGGCGGACGGGUGAGUAACACGUGGGCAACCUGCCUGUAAGACUGGGAUAACUCCGGGAAACCGGGGCUAAUACCGGAUAAUAUCUAUUUAUACAUAUAAUUAGAUUGAAAGAUGGUUCUGCUAUCACUUACAGAUGGGCCCGCGGCGCAUUAGCUAGUUGGUGAGGUAACGGCUCACCAAGGCGACGAUGCGUAGCCGACCUGAGAGGGUGAUCGGCCACACUGGGACUGAGACACGGCCCAGACUCCUACGGGAGGCAGCAGUAGGGAAUCUUCCGCAAUGGACGAAAGUCUGACGGAGCAACGCCGCGUGAGUGAUGAAGGUUUUCGGAUCGUAAAACUCUGUUGUUAGGGAAGAACAAGUAUCGGAGUAACUGCCGGUACCUUGACGGUACCUAACCAGAAAGCCACGGCUAACUACGUGCCAGCAGCCGCGGUAAUACGUAGGUGGCAAGCGUUGUCCGGAAUUAUUGGGCGUAAAGCGCGCGCAGGCGGUUCCUUAAGUCUGAUGUGAAAGCCCACGGCUCAACCGUGGAGGGUCAUUGGAAACUGGGGAACUUGAGUGCAGAAGAGGAAAGUGGAAUUCCAAGUGUAGCGGUGAAAUGCGUAGAGAUUUGGAGGAACACCAGUGGCGAAGGCGACUUUCUGGUCUGUAACUGACGCUGAGGCGCGAAAGCGUGGGGAGC